GCGGCGGACGGGUGAGUAACACGUGGGUAACCUGCCUGUAAGACUGGGAUAACUCCGGGAAACCGGAGCUAAUACCGGAUAGUUCCUUGAACCGCAUGGUUCAAGGAUGAAAGACGGUUUCGGCUGUCACUUACAGAUGGACCCGCGGCGCAUUAGCUAGUUGGUGGGGUAAUGGCUCACCAAGGCGACGAUGCGUAGCCGACCUGAGAGGGUGAUCGGCCACACUGGGACUGAGACACGGCCCAGACUCCUACGGGAGGCAGCAGUAGGGAAUCUUCCGCAAUGGACGAAAGUCUGACGGAGCAACGCCGCGUGAGUGAUGAAGGUUUUCGGAUCGUAAAGCUCUGUUGUUAGGGAAGAACAAGUGCGAGAGUAACUGCUCGCACCUUGACGGUACCUAACCAGAAAGCCACGGCUAACUACGUGCCAGCAGCCGCGGUAAUACGUAGGUGGCAAGCGUUGUCCGGAAUUAUUGGGCGUAAAGGGCUCGCAGGCGGUUUCUUAAGUCUGAUGUGAAAGCCCCCGGCUCAACCGGGGAGGGUCAUUGGAAACUGGGAAACUUGAGUGCAGAAGAGGAGAGUGGAAUUCCACGUGUAGCGGUGAAAUGCGUAGAGAUGUGGAGGAACACCAGUGGCGAAGGCGACUCUCUGGUCUGUAACUGACGCUGAGGAGCGAAAGCGUGGGGAGCGAACAGGAUUAGAUACCCUGGUAGUCCACGCCGUAAACGAUGAGUGCUAAGUGUUAGGGGGUUUCCGCCCCUUAGUGCUGCAGCUAACGCAUUAAGCACUCCGCCUGGGGAGUACGGUCGCAAGACUGAAACUCAAAGGAAUUGACGGGGGCCCGCACAAGCGGUGGAGCAUGUGGUUUAAUUCGAAGCAACGCGAAGAACCUUACCAGGUCUUGACAUCCUCUGACAACCCUAGAGAUAGGGCUUUCCCUUCGGGGACAGAGUGACAGGUGGUGCAUGGUUGUCGUCAGCUCGUGUCGUGAGAUGUUGGGUUAAGUCCCGCAACGAGCGCAACCCUUGAUCUUAGUUGCCA
rnacentral:rRNA from 1 species